rnacentral:tRNA from 4 species
CUUAAAAGCCGAGUACUCUACCAUUGAGUUAGACCC